CACCCAGAAAUUGCUUCCAUGAGAUGUAGCAAAGGCUACCAAUAUGAAUGGCUUUAAAAGGGGAUUGGACACAUUCAUG